CUAAUUUCAUUCUAAUCCCAGUUUUCAGAAACUCUCGUUCUAAACCCCAGUUUUCAACAAAUUUCACCGAAAACGGAAUCGAAGAAGAAAGCCGCAUCAGAAUUUUCAACGAAUUUCUGAGUUCUUCUCACAGAGAAUCCAAACUCAGUUUCAUCGCAUUUCACCAAACCCUUUUCACCAUCGCAGUGACGACAACGAAGCUGAAGAAUGUUCACCAUCGCUCAUUUCACAGGACGACAUCGCAUUGGUAAAGCGAAGGGUGAGAAUAAGGGUUAUUGUUGUGGGUUUUGCAGGGUGUGAAUCUCGGUUGUGCAAUGGUGUGAAAUGGGUUAUUUGCUGCAGAUGAAAAAAUCUCCAUGUUCUCUGUGUUGUCUGGUCAAUUAUACAGUGAAAGGAACCCUAACUUGUACGUGUGAAGCUAGAGAAAAGUUAGGGAGUGGGAAUGAACUGAGUGGUUAGGUUCACAACUUGAGCUCAUGAGGAGUGAGUUGGAUGAAACUCCUACUUUUCAGGGAAUUUUCAAAGUGUGUACCGUUGUACUGAUGAGGUGGAUUAUUAAGUCACAAUUGAAUCAUGUUUUUCUGUUUCUGCAGGUUUUCAUGUGGUCUGGUGCUGGUCUUUUGGCAUGUGCUCUCAAUCGCAGAGAUAAGUUCCUUUGCAUCUGCAGGUUCUCAAAGGAAGCCUCAAGAACAAAGGCAAUAACGGGAAAAGCUUGGACAAUUGCGAAUGUGUAUUUUAUGAAGAUGUUGAAGGCUCACAAGAUGUUCGGAAUCCAACCGUAUCUGCAUUAACUUUUGGCAAAUCGACCAAUUUAAGGUCUUCUAACCAGGACAUAACUUGUUGCCAUUCUUACUAAGGAAUCCCUUCAUUUGUGAAAUGCUUUUAAUUUUGGAUCCGUUCUCUAUAGUAACAGACCUCUCUCGUUAUUCACAUCACAGAGAAAGAUGGCUUGCCGGCAGUUAUGGGCUUCAAGAGCUGCAUCAUACCUCAGGAUCUCUGUCUUUCACAGAAGUUUCUCUAAUGGCUUGAAUGUAGGAGAUGGACUACAAUAAUCAAGGAGCGAUUUUCUAAACUUUUAGAAAAUCUGUCUUUGUUAUCCAAGUGAGAACAAUGAAAAAUAAUGGCAACAACACUCCUAGCAGCAACUGUCUCCCCAGCAUGAAUGUUUGAUGAUGCUGUUGACUCUUCUGGAAAUCUUCCAGACUCACUGGAUAUUGGUGAUGUUUCAGAGCCUGCAUUUCCAGCUAAUUCUCCUUCAUCAAACCAGAAGAAUGCGACAGCUGAAGCCAAUACUUCAUUUGGUCACUUGUGAAUUGAUUUCCAAAUGUGAACGGUGAAUUGUUUUUCUACCCAAGAAUUUGUGUGCAGACUAAUAGCAUAUGUCAUUUUGUGUGCUGACCAAUAGCAUAUGUCAUUUUGUAUUAAUAAAACUACCACCUUCUUUCUAGCAGGCUCACACUCGGCUCUCGGCUGUGGCCUAUAAAUAGUUGUGAACAAGAAAAUAUUUGACUCUGUAAGGACUCAGAUAAAAAUUUGUGUAUUUUUAUCUACUAUGAAAUUCAAAAGGGAUGAAGGAAAUCAAAUUAAAUUGUCUCUGGAUUUUUUAUUAUUGAAUGAUGUAAUUUUGUUAAUCAGCUGGAAUGGAUUGAGUUUUUUGGUUGACUUGAUCUAGCUUAACUCAUGAUAACCUGAAUAUUUGUGUGGAUUUCUUCAAUGUCCAGUUGUUUGUUUCUAGUUAAAGCAUAUGAAAUAUUAUGAUUUCAUAUGACUUCUUUAUACAUCAAAAUAUGAAGAAAUGUGAUAAUUAAAAUAAGGUGUAAUAUAGCAUAUGAA